UUCCUCUCACGUGUCUGGGCCACUGAUCUGAUAGUGAUGGCUUUGAGGAACUGAGGAA
ensembl:snoRNA